AUGGCGGCGACGCCCCCUGCCGCCGCCGCCGCCGCCGCGGGCGGGGCGCACAGCGUGUUCGUGUACGGGAGCCUCAUGGCAGACGAGGUGGUCAGCGCCAUCCUCAAGCGCAUCCCGGCCUCCUCCCCGGCGCUCCUCGCCAACCACCAUAGGUUUAACGUCAAGGAUCGUAUUUAUCCAGCAAUCCUACCUGUUGAAAGCAAGAAAGUUGCUGGAAAGGUUAUCAUGGGUAUUUCUGACGCGGAACUCAUUGUCUUGGAUGCAUUUGAGGAUUUUGAGUAUGUAAGGAGAAGAGUUCAGAUAUCACUAACCAUGGUUUUGCUCAAAGAAAGUUUGGCCUUACAGGAUACUUCAGAGACAAUGCAUGCUGACACUUAUGUAUGGAGUGAUGCAGAGGAUCCAGAUCUGUAUGGUGAAUGGGAUUUCGAGGAGUGGAAGAGGGUUCACAUGAAGGAUUUCCUAACGAUGACACUCGGAUUCAUGGACGGACUCGAACGGCCCGAACCGAAGACCCGGGUCGAGACCUAUCAGUCUUUCAUGCACGAGCACGAACAACCUGAAUCAGGAACCCAGGUCGAGAGUUGA
rnacentral:rRNA from 1 species